UACAGAGGUCUCGAGCGUUGUUCGGAUUCAUUGGGCGUAAAGGGUGCGUAGGUGGCGAGGUAAGUCGGAUGUGAAAUCCCGGGGCUCAACCCCGGAACUGCAUUCGAUACUGCCCUGCUAGAGUACUGGAGAGGAGAUUGGAAUUUACGGUGUAGCGGUGAAAUGCGUAGAUAUCGUAAGGAAGACCAGUGGCGAAGGCGGGUCUCUGGACAGUUCCUGACGCUGAGGCACGAAGGCCAGGGGAGCAAACGGG
rnacentral:rRNA from 1 species